rnacentral:misc_RNA from 1 species
UUGUACUCACCAGGCACGCGGGCACCUGCACGCGUGGCGCGUUCUCUCCACUUCAACGUGUGUGUAUGUACAUGUAGCUUCUUGUUUCCUCACCGGCUACACACCUUCGUUCGUUUGCUGUCACAUUGCACCUCGUGCACUGCACCUUCGUACAGCUCUGCAGUGUUGGAGACCCCCGGCGUUUUGACGACGACACGGUCGGCAUCACCACCUUGUACCUAUCGGCUCGCUAGUCCGCCACACCUGGGCCGCGCCCGACGCAAAUCCAGCAUUAUUGAACCCUAGGUUUCAGCGGUUACUAGGGGCAACUGACAGUUAGCACGCGUUCCACAAACAAUAUGACCACCGCAACAGAGCCUACAAUAACGUUAAGUCAGAGCAUGGACUCAGUGAAUACAGCUUCUGAAGAAGAGGUGCGCACGCUGUUUGUCAGUGGUCUUCCCAUGGACGCGAAACCACGAGAGCUGUAUCUGUUAUUUCGAGCGUAUAAGGGCUACGAAGGUUCUCUCCUGAAGGUGACUAGUAAAAAUGGAAAAACAUCCUCACCUGUUGGAUUUGUAACGUUUAAUUCCCGCGCAGGUGCAGAGGCGGCAAAGCAAGAUCUCCAGCAAGGAAUUCGUUUUGACCCUGACCUUCCUCAGACGAUUCGACUAGAAUUUGCAAAGAGCAAUACGAAGGUUAGCAAACCGAAACAGCAGUCGCCUCCCGCAGCUGCUACCUAUCCAACCUUGCUACACCCUGUCACAGGACAAGAAAUUGGAGCUGCUCUCCUGCCAGGAGUUCACGACGGCUGGUCUCCACAUCCUCUUUCUUAUGCUGAAGUACCGGUAACGUCAGCUCUCCAUUCUCCUGCUUUAUUACAUCCAGCGCUGCAUGCUCAACUUCCGCCCCCUUUGACAGUACACCCAGCUCUUUCGCACGCUGCUCUUGCGGGAACUGCAGCUAUUCACGCCACGAUACCACCCUCCCAUCUGGUGGCGAGUCCGGCGUUAGCCAGUCCUGUAGGCUCUGCCUCGUCUGUAUCUAAUACACCUCCUUGUUCAACUCUCUUUGUUGCAAAUCUAGGCCAAUUUGUUUCAGAACAAGAACUCAAAGAUCUUUGGCUGCUUUCCUGGUUUUUGCCGUCUGAGAAUGCACAACAAAGGAGGAGCACCGGUGGCUUUUGUUGAAUAUCAGGACGUACGUCUAGCAGCACAUGCCAUGAACGCUUUCCAAGGCUACGUUUUGUUUUCUUCAGAUCGCGGAGGAAUCCGAAUUGAAUACGCUAAGAACAAGAUGGGAGAGGUCUCUCGUGAUUAAAAGAAGAAAAUAUCCAGUGGACUGGCAGUUUGAUGUUUGAUUAUUAAAUUAAUGACUUAUGUUUAAGUUGUUCAAAAUCGUUUUAUUAUGGUGUAGUAUAGUUUAAAACAUAUGAAAAUCUUUAAAUGGAAACCGAUUUUACAAAAGUUUGGCGUUUUAUUUUAGGAAGUGCUUUGAAUAGUUUAAACUUUGAUUUAAAAAGUCUAUGAUAAUAAUUAAAAUUUUGUAUAUUAAUUUAAUAUUAUGUUUUGUACAUUUACGGCGUUUUGAAUAUGUUUCUUCUGGAAGACUUUGUGCAACAUAAUGUAUUAGAAAAACUGUAUCCACAGCAACUGAUGAAGUUAUAUUUUUUCUUACCAACCUGAGAUUUCGAAUUUGUUAAAUACAACAUGACCUUUAAUAUGUGACCGGUAAAUAUAUAUAUAUAUAUAGAUAAAUAAUUUUAUCUCAGUUUUUCCGCUGUAAAAAACUUAUGUAAUCUAUAUUGCAGUUACCAGUUUAGUAUCUUUAACGCUUGUAUUGUUCAAUAAAAUAAAUAAUUAUUAAAAAUCAAUGAUAAUAAAUAUAAUUAUGGAAUAAUUCAAUAAGGUUCUUUCAAUAAUUAACAUGAAAUACCAGUAUGAGAGAAAUGUGUAUUUAAAAACAUCUGUAAUCUUUAAAAUCUAAUGUUUCUAGGAAAACCAAGUUUAUAGUUCAGACUUAGUCUAUACAUUACUCCACGAUUAAAUACUUUCGUUAGUAUGGACUGUUUUGAUGCAAGAGUAAUGUAACAUGGUUUAGGUCCAAAUCUUUCCACUGAUUUAAAAAUUAUCAAUUUCCAAAAAAUUUAAAACAUGAAAACCUGUAUAAUGUAUGUAGAGAAUCAUUGAUUAAUUAUUGAGCUCAAUAGAUUUAUUAUGCUCUAUAUUAGGUUUCGGAUAGGAACAAAUUUUGAAAUAGGAGUUGCAUCUUUUCAGACGUAAACUGCAUGGUUGCGUAAAGAGUGUAUAUGCUCUCCAUGUCUAUAUACUGAACAAAAGUGUUAUGAAAUAUUUUUCCCGGUCACGUGUUUACUGAAUGAAAUCACAGGAGUAUAAAUGGUAAGAAAAAUAUAUAUAAAUUUGUAGUAGUAGAUUCAAAGUUGUGAGGGUACAUUUCUGGUUGCAUAAGUCAGAAUGUGUUGUUAUAUGGGAUGGUCAUAUGGUUGUUUUCUAUAUUGUGGAUGAAAUAUUGAACAGGAUACGAACAAAAAUGCUGUGCUACAUAAAAAGUAAAAUAUCUGGUCAAUAGAAUAGUUCCAUUUUUUAUAAUAUCCAUAAUUAUAAAACUCCCAUGUUAUGUUUGUCUUUCAUGAAAACUAAACAGUCUAUGGUAAAAUAUACUUUAAUUAUUUCAAACAAAUGUUAAAAGAAAAUGUUACACGAAGAAAAGGUCCGGAUUUGUAUUCAAUGUGAGUGUAGCAGUGCUGAAAGGUUCUUUAUGUCUAAAGUUUAAAACCGAAUUUUAUUAUGGGAGCUGUAACGAAUAUGAAAAUAGUAGAGAGUGUAAUUUAUGUACAAGUCUGUGAAAAAAACAAACAAAUAUGGUUUGUAUAUCACUCCCAAACACUGGCCGUUGGUGAAACACACUAGAAUAAGUGGUCAUUAUUUUUCCUAAUAUUAUGGCAUUCUUUCAAUGUGUAAAGAAACCGGUUAUGGGGAGUUUUGUGAACCUUUUUAUUGAAUAACCAGUAGAAACAAGAUAUCCUUCAAAUUAAGCAGAAAAAAAAUUAAUUGUAUAUUUUGUGAUAAGAUCAAAUUAACUGAGUGAGAAUUUAACUUCUGAAAAGUUUCACACAUAUCAGAGAUGUUUUGAUAAGACAUUCUCAUUGGAUUUAGAUCGUUCAAAAUGUUUCCACUUUUUCAUGUUCAUUUCAUUAUUCCUCAAUCCAUUUCUCUAUAUUUUCAUAUCUAGGCUAUUGCUGCAGAUGACAGCUAAUAAUUGUUUGUGCAAAAAUCAUGACAAGACAAAUAGAAGCCACUAUGCAAGUAAUCCCUAUUGCAUUCUUAUCGUAGAAAUAAGCUUACUGUGAUUACCUCGCAUGGUUGCGAUGGUUAUGAAGAUUCUUAGAAAUUAUUGUCAUUGUGGUUAGGAUUUCCUUUUGGUUUUCUUAUAUUAUACCCAUGUUUAACAUGAAAGUGUUAGAAGUGAAAUUAACCCUAAUAAUGAUUUGCGUGGUAAUCAUAUAUUUUGUGUAGAUGUAUAUUGGUAGCAGAAGAAAUGUUUCAAUUCUUGAUUCCAAUAGUUGCUUAUGUGGUACUCCCCAUUAAGAUAUCAUACAGUGUGACUUUGAAUACUUUUCUAUUUGGAUAAGUCACGGGUCUGUCUUAUAUUCUAGUCGCGACACCUAUGUAGGGUUUGAAAGAUGGGUCCAAUAAAUACCCUACUUUCUAAGGAUGGAUAAUCCAUUAAGGAUUUCCAUAAACACAAACAGUGGAUAUAGAAAUGAGGAUUUCUAGAGAUUAGGCUUCCUCACUAUUCUGGAAUGAGGUAUCUUCUAGGAGCUUUAGUCGAAGAGUGCUAUUUUGAGGAUAUAGAUCCUGCUUAUUUGUCGUAUUUUUUCCUAGUGCCCUUCCUACUACAAAUACAUUUUUUUGUUAAAUUUCAUCAUCUUCUAUAUAUGUUUAAUCUACCUCUAUAAUUCUUGCUUUUACAAAGCUGUGUUCUAUAUUUUCGAAAAGGUAUUUAUACCUUGUUAAGCCUUUUCUCUAUUCGACUUUAACGAUAUUUAUAUUAAAUUUCCUGCUGUUACUAAGGAAUUGUUCUUUACUUUUGUAAGUAUAUUAGUGUAGUCUUUCUGGACAAAGGCUUUUCUUUUUUCUCUUAUUCAACUGUCCUUGGAAGUUUUAUACAUUUCCUGGCCUAUAGUCUUCUGGUAGAUUUGCUCGUGUUUAAUCUUCUGGGUUAUGGAUAUGCAAGGAUUAUUUUUCAUUACGUCAUGCUAUCCCAGAUCUGUUCUGUUGUUUAACUCGAGCGUUUUCCUUAUUUACUGACCCUGCUACGAUAAUUACGUUUGUUACUUUUACCAUCCUACUGAAUUAAAUGUCUCAUACAGAGUUUGGUAUGCCUCUUUGUUCGUGAAGUCCUGUUUAAUUGGUCUAAACUGUAAAUCAGUCGAUUGCGCGUAAUAAACUGAGCAUCAGAGUAAGUAUUUCGGCGUAAAAUUUGGAACCCUCCCUGCUUUUUACAAUCUAAGAAAUUCAUAUUAGGCCUAAUGAGCAGCGCUCCCCAUAUUGGUCAUCGGGGUCCAUUUGUAGGAAAAAGACGUACCAAGUACAUCCUGAGAAUAGAGUCAUUCAAAUAUUUCACUUAUAGCAUGAUGAUAAAAACCAGUCUGACAGAAGUUCCGACUUUUAACAUAAAGUUACUCACUAAGUCACUACCAAACUAAGAUUACCUACUACUGUAAAAUGGGUAAAAAUACGCUUUUAUAAUAUAAAUAUUACGUGAAUCAACGUGUAGAAACAGCUGGUUAAUAGAAAUGGUAUUACUAUUUUCUCUUGGUUAUAGAUCAAAUAAACUUUAUUUAGAUGUAUGACAUUGAAGCCAGGACCAAAUGACUUGUUCAUUGUUGUCAUAGCAACUAUAUACUAAUGAUGAACCUCUUACGCCUUCUAGUGAAACAAAUGUACAGUUUUAUGCAGUAAUGUGAAAAUCAUAUUCCGUUAUAUUUUGCAUAUUAUUUCCAGAUUAUUCGUUUAUUUAUUGGAACUCUUGAGCAUGAAAUUAGUUUGUAAAAAUAUUUUAACACACACACACAAUUACAUAGUACGUUCACAGACGUUUUCGGGUUGUUUUUUUAUUAAUUAAACAAACGUUUUUGAGCCAUCACUUCUUACACAUACAAGUCAUCCUAAAUCUGAAUGUUCGCGUGGAUUAGGCCUUUUUUGGAAGUAGUCCUUCAGAAUGUAUAUUAGACUUUAGUUGUCCAUCGUUCACAAUCGCCUCAGUUUAUAUUCUGAAAUAUACGUGGUGAUUGCAAUUUUCCCUAUGCACCAGGUUUUUGUGGCCCGUUAAUUAGAGGAAGACCACUUUUAAAAUAAAACAUGGUCUAAAAAUUUAGUAACAUUGUAUCCAAAAUGUUCAAAUCUAUGUAAUUUAUUUUUGAAAGCAGAAUUUUUAUGCCAUUCUAAAAAUAGUUUUACAUCUAUGUAAAUUUUGCUUAAACUGGCAUUUGAGAAUUGAGAAACAUCUGAGCUUGUCCCACAACUGAUUGAAAAAUAAAAUUGAUACAUUUACAUUAAAAACAAAAACAUAUUCUGCUUAUUAUAAGCAAUUAUAUAUAAUGUUAUGCGUGUAUCUUCUAUUCAUGAAACGUUUGAAUUUGACCCAGAACUGAUUGAAAAAUGAAAUCAAUACGUUUAUAUUAAAAAAAAUACAACUUAUAUUCUGCUCAUGAUAAACAAUUAUAUAUAUUUAUGUGUGUAUCUCCUAUUCACGAACAGGGACCAUUUCGACAUAACCUAGUUUUCUUUUAUAUUCGCCUAGUUUAUGUAACAAAUACAGUUACUGUACAUACACAUGUUUUUUGAGGUAUUUGAAAAGUAUUAGGUAAGCAUACAAAUGAAAUACUGAGGUGCGGGUAAACUACAAUUUGCCACUUUCGUUAUUAUAAAUGAGCUAAAGGUGAAUGCUUUGUGACAUAGACUUGUAUUUUGUACUAAAUGCAUAAUAUCUUAGUGUUUGACUGAAAUUGGAGAGUUUGGUUGCAUUCACACAAAAGGCCCUGUAUAGCAAAAACUAAGAAAUUCGCGUUCUUUUGUAGCAUUUCUGGACGUUUGGAAUAGGGCGAUUUAAGGGUUAAAAAGACGGAGUUAUAGAUGAUAAAUAGCAUUUCAAAUCAUAUGUCAUUGUCGAUAUAAGACAAUACUAAGUAGAAUUACUCAAUCUCAGGAUGCCUUGUAGGAAAUGCACUUGUUAAUUCGUCACUUACAGAUGAUAAACUUUAUGGAAAUAUUUUGGUGGAAAUGUGUUACUUGUCAGACCUUCAAAGGUUUCUGGAAAUACUUGAGAUGCGGUUCUCAAAGUUGAAAGGAAAACACAUUCGUGGUACCUGCGUAGAUUGCUUUAUACAUUUCUUAUAGCUUUUAAUUUUAUUUUCUUCUGUUGUUUCAAGGAAUAUAACAACCCCAUAAUAUUCGUCAGUCUUUAAUAGCAGUAAAACUAGAUUUCUGGAUAAAAAUGAUUGGUGUGUAACUUGGAUUUUUUUAGAAUCAGAUUAGUAAAGAAAAAAAAACAAAUUGAACUAGAUUUACGAUAAAUAACUGAUAUAUAUAGAGAGAGGACAUACUUCUGGAUUUCUUAGUCCGUAUGACUGAGUUUUAGCAAACAUAUCUGCAUUGCAUCAUCUCUGAGAAUAAGAACUUGUUAGUUAUAUCAGGUCAACCGUAUAAAUCUUUUUAUGCAUGGUACAACAAUGAAACUUUUUCGAAUAACCUGUCAUUUAGAUUGAGCUUUUCCAAAGCAAUCUGAUGAGAAGGUUACAUUUGAAUAACGUGUUUGAUUAAUUCCUAGCAAAUUCUUGCGGCGAUCUUGGUAUGAAUGGUUAACCCUACUGAAAUAUUAGUAAAGAACAGACUGAGAGAUUAACAAUGCGCCUUAUGCCUGAGGAGUGAAAUUUAAGGACUUGCAACAAUGAAUUCCGUCCAUGUCAUUGCCUCUAUUUGCUAUUAUUGCAGUACUUUUGAAACUGUUUUGCGAAUAAUGCAUCAUUUCAUAUUUGUAAUGGUAGUCAGAGAUAAGGAUAUUAAAAUGUAUAGAUGUUCUGUAGUGCUUUUACUUGUAGAUUCGUGUCUUGCCCAUAGUUCCUUUAAGAUAUCUGUCGAAGCUAUGUUAGAUAUCUAAUGAAAUAGAUUCAUAAUUGCUAUAUUCUAACCCCGCGUGUGGUUUGUUAUUUAACGUUUCAAUUUAACUUGUGGCUUGUGGUGACUUUAACAACUUAGAUCGAAAAAAAUGUUUGGAUCAAAUGAUAGUGUAGAAUACAAAUAACAUAACUUGCUGGUUUUAGUACAAUUAUGUGGGCAAUUUUUUGAAGUUGAAUCAGUUAAAUAGGUCUGUGUAUGCUAUUAUGAGAUGCAUUCUAGUAGAAAAAAUCUUUAAGUAAUAAAAUCGCGACGUAAAAUUCGUAUGACUCUGUAUAGUACAAUAGAUGCUUGAAAAUAAAGAUCCUUGUGUGAAGAA